CUUAUUUUGAGGGAACAAGAUACUUCAUGUAUCAGAUAUCUGAAACAUGAGGCUGAGGUGUGUGUGUGUGUACCUGUGCAGUCUGAUAGAUGUGGACCACGUUCUCCAGAGUCAGGUUUUGGGACAGCUUCACCUCACAGCUCCUCUGCAGACCUCUGAGCUGGAAGAACGAGGACACGGGCAGCAGCUGCACAAACAAACAACAACAACACAGUUAAUCCCAGUCAAACACUUUACUAACUCUAACAUGUGUCUGACCCUCAGGUGGACAGGUGUGUUGUUCUACCUGGAUGGCUUCAGAGUGAGUCACAGUCAGUCCGUCUGUCCCUCCACAGUACAGAGACUUCAUCAUCGUCUGCAGAGACACGACAUCACUUCAGUGAUCCAUCACUCAGUUAACAUCUACAUGAAGACAGCAGCAGGUCCAGGUGAGCUCCGGCCUCUAAGAGCAUCUGAACCAGGGCUUCAUCUCCGGCUGCAGAGGCGUACAUCAGAGGAGUCAUCCCCUGCAACAACAAUGAUAACCUUUGACCUUUAAGUUUAGGACCAGUUAGAGUUAGAGUGUUCAUAUCCUCCUAACUCGUCGUGUCUGUAUUAAAAUCCGGAUGUUCCCCUCCUCACCUGGUCGUCCACGGUGUUCACCCCCUGUGGACCCAGAAGCCGAGCGGCCUGAUGGACCAGAUCAGCUCGGCCACACGAGAGCAUCCUGAAGCCCAGGUCCAGGUGAAACUUUGCUGCAGCAGCUUCUGCAUCCAAACACUUCAGAGACUGGAAGCAGCACGCAGACCUGCAGAGGAACAGGGACACGAUCAUCCUGGUGCUACUUCAUCAACCGGUUUCAAACACGUGUAGGCUUUGAUCUGCGCUGUAGAUUCUCUGUUCAUCGGUUACUUACCUCAGCUGUCGGGGCUCACAGUCCAGUCCUGCCAGAAGCAACCUUGCCGUCUGUCUGACGUCAUCACUGUCCACCAAUAGGCUGCGGCGGUGUUCAGCAUGAACCACGGCGACUCUGAUCCACUCCAUGAGAGGAGGGAGGAGCAGGAACGGCCUGGAGGAGGGAAAAGAAAUUACUCUUUUUAAACCUUUUUUCUCUUCAGUUUGAGUUUUUAAAGUUUAAAAGGUGCUUCAUGGUCGUGAGCCGGACUCUUCAAUCAACAUGCAUGUGAUGUCUGAACCAGAGCAGCCGAUCAGGGACUUAGGCACAGGAUUUAUAGCAGUUCCAAAAUGCAGGAAUGCAGGAAUUAAGAUUUUGGUGGGUCUGAUAGUGUUUCAAAGAAUAAAAUCAGCUUUCACGUCAA